UGUCAAGAGUCAUGGCGCCGUUUUGGCGAAUGGAUUUCUUUUGCCUUGAAGAAGGUGAGAGACAAUG
rfam:Rhizobium yanglingense strain CCBAT 01603 genomic scaffold 01603_scaffold_3, whole genome shotgun sequence.